rnacentral:rRNA from 1 species
GAUGAACGCUGACAGAAUGCUUAACACAUGCAAGUCAACUUGAACUUCGGUUUGGGUGGCGGACGGGUGAGUAACGCGUAAAGAACUUGCCUCACAGCUAGGGACAACAUUUGGAAACGAAUGCUAAUACCUGAUAUUAUGAUUUUAGGGCAUCCUAGAAUUAUGAAAGCUAUAUGCGCUGUGAGAGAGCUUUGCGUCCCAUUAGCUAGUUGGAGAGGUAACGGCUCACCAAGGCGAUGAUGGGUAGCCGGCCUGAGAGGGUGAACGGCCACAAGGGGACUGAGACACGGCCCUUACUCCUACGGGAGGCAGCAGUGGGGAAUAUUGGACAAUGGACCAAGAGUCUGAUCCAGCAAUUCCGUGUGCACGAUGAAGUUUUUCGGAAUGUAAAGUGCUUUCAGUUGGGAAGAAAAAAAUGACGGUACCAACAGAAGAAGUGACGGCUAAAUACGUG